rnacentral:tRNA from 1 species
GUAUUGAUGGUUGAGUGAUAAAAACUAUUUUAAGAUAAUAUAGGUCUCAAGUUCGAUUCUUGGUUCCUCCA